rnacentral:rRNA from 1 species
CCUACGGGGCGCAGCAGUGAGGAAUAUUGGUCAAUGGCCGGAAGGCUGAACCAGCCAAGCCGCGUGAAGGACGAAGGUGCCAAGCAUUGUAAACUUCUUUUGUCAAGGGACAAAAUCAGGCUCGAGAGCCUGACCGAGGGUACUUGAAGAAAAAGCAUCGGCUAACUCCGUGCCAGCAGCCGCGGUAAUACGGAGGAUGCGAGCGUUAUCCGGAUUUAUUGGGUGUAAAGGGCGUGUAGGCGGGAGCGCAAGGCAGAUGUGAAAACUCAGGGCUCAACCCUGAGCCUGCAUUUGAAACUGGGUUU